GAGUUUGAUCAUGGCUCAGAUUGAACGCUGGCGGCAUGCCUUACACAUGCAAGUCGAACGGCAGCAUGAUCUAGCUUGCUAGAUUGAUGGCGAGUGGCGAACGGGUGAGUAAUACAUCGGAACGUGCCCUGUAGUGGGGAUAACUAGUCGAAAGAUUAGCUAAUACCGCAUACGACCUGAGGGUGAAAGUGGGGACCGCAAGGCCUCAUGCUAUAGGAGCGGCCGAUGUCUGAUUAGCUAGUUGGUGGGUAAAGGCCCACCAAGGCGACGAUCAGUAGCUGGUCUGAGAGGACGAUCAGCCACACUGGGACUGAGACACGGCCCAGACUCCUACGGGAGGCAGCAGUGGGAAUUUUGGACAAUGGGCGAAAGCCUGAUCCAGCAAUGCCGCGUGUGUGAAGAAGGCCUGGUUGUAA
rnacentral:rRNA from 1 species